rnacentral:rRNA from 1 species
CCUACGGGAGGCAGCAGUAAGGAAUAUUGGACAAUGGGCGCAAGCCUGAUCCAGCCAUUCCGCGUGUAGGAUGGCGGCCCUCUGGGUUGUAAACUACUUUUAUUUGGGAAGAAACCCUGGGAUUUAUCCUGGGCUGACGGUACCAAAAGAAUAAGCACCGGCUAAUUCCGUGCCAGCAGCCGCGGUAAUACGGAAGGUGCAAGCGUUAUCCGGAAUCACUGGGUUUAAAGGGUGCGUAGGCGGUUGCGUAAGUCAGAAGUGAAAGCUCACAGCUUAACUGUGGAAUUGCUUUUGAUACUGCGCGACUAGAAUCAGGUUGAGGUUGGCGGAAUGUGACAUGUAGCGGUGAAAUGCAUAGAUAUGUCAUAGAACACCAAUUGCGAAGGCAGCUGACUGGACCUGUAUUGACGCUGAGGCACGAAAGCGUGGGGAGCGAACAGGAUUAGAUACCCUGGUAGUCCACGCCCUAAACGAUGCUUACUCGAUGUGUGAAAUAUUGCGCAUCCAAGGGAAACCGUUAAGUAAGCCACCUGGGGAGUACGUUCGCAAGAAUGAAACUCAAAGGAAUUGACGG